AUUGAACGCUGGCGGCAGGCCUAACACAUGCAAGUCGAGCGCGAGGCGGACGGGUGAGAAAUGUCUGUGCAACUGCCUGAUGGAGGGGGAUAACUACUGGAAACAGUCGCUAAUACCGCAUACCAUCAGAUGUGCCCCGAUGGGAUUAGCUCGUAGUUGGGGUAACGGCUCACCUAGACGACCAUCACUCGCUGGUCUGAGAGGAUGACCAGCCACACUGGAACUGAGCCACGGUCCAGACUCCGACGGGAGGCAGCAGUGGGGAAUAUUGCACAAGGGGCGCAAGCCUGAUGCAGCCAUGCCGAGUGUGUGAAGAAGGCCUUCGGGUUGUAAAGCACUUUCAGCGGGGAGGCGUUACCCGCAGAAGAAGCACCGGCUAACUCCGUGCCAGCAGCCGCGGUAAUAC
rnacentral:rRNA from 1 species